rnacentral:rRNA from 1 species
AUUGAACGCUGGCGGCAGGCCUAACACAUGCAAGUCGAACGGUAACAGGAAGCAGCUUGCUGCUUUGCUGACGAGUGGCGGACGGGUGAGUAAUGUCUGGGAAACUGCCCGAUGGAGGGGGAUAACUACUGGAAACGGUAGCUAAUACCGCAUAACGUCGCAAGACCAAAGAGGGGGACCUUAGGGCCUCUUGCCAUCGGAUGUGCCCAGAUGGGAUUAGCUAGUAGGUGGGGUAACGGCUCACCUAGGCGACGAUCCCUAGCUGGUCUGAGAGGAUGACCAGCCACACUGGAACUGAGACACGGUCCAGACUCCUACGGGAGGCAGCAGUGGGGAAUAUUGCACAAGGGGCGCAAGCCUGAUGCAGCCAUGCCGCGUGUAUGAAGAAGGCCUUCGGGUUGUAAAGUACUUUCAGCGGGGAGGAAGGGAGUAAAGUUAAUACCUUUGCUCAUUGACGUUACCCGCAGAAGAAGCACCGGCUAACUCCGU